rnacentral:rRNA from 1 species
UACGUAGGUGCAAGCGUUAUCCGGAAUUAUUGGGCGUAAAGAGCUCGUAGGCGGUCUGUCGCGUCUGCUGUGAAACUGGGGCUCAACCCCAGCCUGCAGUGGGUACGGCAGACUAGAGUGCGGUAGGGAGAUUGGAACUCCUGGUGUAGCGGUGGAAUGCGCAGAUAUCAGGAGGAACACCGAUGGCGAAGGCAGGUCUCUGAGCAUUAACUGACGCUGAGGAGCGAAAGCAUGGGGAGCGAACAGG